rnacentral:rRNA from 1 species
GCAUAAUCAUUAGUUUUUUAAUUGGGGGCUGGAAUGAAGGAUAGAGGCUAAAAAGAUAAGUUUUUUUUAAUUAAUUUGAAUUUAAAUUUAAAGUAAAAAUGCUUUAAUUAUGUCUUGGGACGAGAAGACCCUAGAAGCUAAAAAUUAUAUGGAAAUUUUUUAUUGGGGCAAUAGAUUGAAGAAAUUAAUUUUUAAUUUGGAUUUAUGAAAAAAAAAAGUUACUCUAGGGAUAACAGCGUUAUGUAGCUAGUGAGUUCUUAUUAAAAGCUAUGAUUGCGACCUCGAUGUUGAAUUAAAU